AUAGAUGGAGCCCUGAGGAGAAGGAGUCCUUUGAGAAGGCUUUGCACACCUAUGGCAAGGAUUUCCAUCUCAUCCAGAAGCAGAUUCCCAGCAAGACUGUGGCCCAGUGUGUGGAGUACUACUACUCCUGGAAAAAACAACAGAAACUUGCCCGCACUCCUGCUCAGGGUAUUUGAAACCAAGAAGGAAAGGAAUGCACACAGGAGAAGACAUCACCCACAGAAGGAAGCAGAGCCUGUUCCAAAGAAGAAAAGAUCAAAUUAGGCCUGCACUUGUCCAGGGCUAGCAAGAGUUAGCUGUCAAGAAGACUAGAUAGAAAUAGGAUUGUUUUGAAGAGGUGUUUAUUCUUUGAUUUACUUUACCAGAUAGGCA